AGAGUUUGAUUCUGGCUCAGGAUGAACGCUGGCGGCAUGCCUAAUACAUGCAAGUCGAACGAGAGGAAGGAAAGCUUGCUUUUCUGAAUCUAGUGGCGAACGGGUGAGUAACACGUAGGUAACCUGCCCAUGUGUCCGGGAUAACUUCUGGAAACGGAUGCUAAAACCGGAUAGGUAGCAGACAAGCAUUUGACUGCUAUUAAAGUGGCUUUGGCCAUGAACAUGGAUGGACCUGCGGUGCAUUAGCUGGUUGGUGAGGUAACGGCCCACCAAGGCGACGAUGCAUAGCCGGCCUGAGAGGGCGGACGGCCACAUUGGGACUGAGACACGGCCCAAACUCCUACGGGAGGCAGCAGUAGGGAAUUUUCGUCAAUGGGGGGAACCCUGAACGAGCAAUGCCGCGUGAGUGAGGAAGGUCUUCGGAUCGUAAAGCUCUGUUGUAAGAGAAAAACGGCACUCAUAGGGAAUGAUGAGUGAGUGGUGGUAUCUUACCAGAAAGUCACGGCUAACUACGUGCCAGCAGCCGCGGUAAUACGUAGGUGGCGAGCGUUAUCCGGAAUGAUUGGGCGUAAAGGGUGCGUAGGUGGCAGAUCAAGUCUGGAGUAAAAGGUAUGGGCUCAACCCGUACUGGCUCUGGAAACUGAUCAGCUAGAGAACAGAAGAGGACGGCGGAACUCCAUGUGUAGCAGUAAAAUGCGUAGAUAUAUGGAAGAACACCGGUGGCGAAGGCGGCCGUCUGGUCUGGAUUCUGACACUGAAGCACGAAAGCGUGGGGAGCAAAUAGGAUUAGAUACCCUAGUAGUCCACGCCGUAAACGAUGAGAACUAGGUGUUGGGGGAAUAACUCAGUGCCGCAGUUAACGCAGUAAGUUCUCCGCCUGGGGAGUAUGCACGCAAGUGUGAAACUCAAAGGAAUUGACGGGGGCCCGCACAAGCGGUGGAGUAUGUGGUUUAAUUCGAAGCAACGCGAAGAACCUUACCUGCUCUUGACAUCCCGGUGACCGGCAUGUAAUGAUGCCUUUUCUUCGGAACACCGGUGACAGGUGGUGCAUGGUUGUCGUCAGCUCGUGUCGUGAGAUGUUGGGUUAAGUCCCGCAACGAGCGCAACCCUUGUGAUAUGUUACUAACAUUGAGUUGAGGACUCAUAUCAGACUGCCGGUGAUAAACCGGAGGAAGGUGGGGAUGACGUCAAAUCAUCAUGCCCCUUAUGGCCUGGGCUACACACGUACUACAAUGGCGUCUACAAAGAGUGGCAAGCCUGUGAAGGCAAGCGAAUCUCAUAAAGGACGUCUCAGUUCGGAUUGAAGUCUGCAACCCGACUUCAUGAAGCUGGAAUCGCUAGUAAUCGCGAAUCAGCAUGUCGCGGUGAAUACAUUCUCGGGCCUUGCACUCACCGCCCGUCA
rnacentral:rRNA from 1 species